AUUUAUAUAAUAUAACAAUUAUAUUUGACUUCCAAUCAAAAAAUCUAACUUUAGUGUAAAUA
rnacentral:tRNA from 1 species